rnacentral:rRNA from 1 species
GACGAACGCUGGCGGCGUGCUUAGCACAUGCAAGUCGAACGGAAAGGCCCUGCUUUUGUGGGGUGCUCGAGUGGCGAACGGGUGAGUAACACGUGAGUAACCUGCCCUUGACUUUGGGAUAACUUCAGGAAACUGGGGCUAAUACCGGAUAGGAGCUCCUGCUGCAUGGUGGGGGUUGGAAAGUUUCGGCGGUUGGGGAUGGACUCGCGGCUUAUCAGCUUGUUGGUGGGGUAGUGGCUUACCAAGGCUUUGACGGGUAGCCGGCCUGAGAGGGUGACCGGCCACAUUGGGUCUGAGAUACGGCCCAGACUCCUACGGGAGGCAGCAGUGGGGAAUAUUGCACAAUGGGCGGAAGCCUGAUGCAGCAACGCCGCGUGCGGGAUGACGGCCUUCGGGUUGUAAACCGCUUUCGCCUGUGACGAAGCGUGAGUGACGGUAAUGGGUAAAGAAGCACCGGCUAACUACGUG